rnacentral:rRNA from 1 species
ACGGGUGAGUAACACGUGGAUAACCUACCUAUAAGACUGGGAUAACUUCGGGAAACCGGAGCUAAUACCAGAUAACAUGUUGAACCGCAUGGUUCAACAGUGAAAGACGGUCUUGCUGUCACUUAUAGAUGGAUCCGCGCCGCAUUAGCUAGUUGGUAAGGUAACGGCUUACCAAGGCAACGAUGCGUAGCCGACCUGAGAGGGUGAUCGGCCACACUGGAACUGAGACACGGUCCAGACUCCUACGGGAGGCAGCAGUAGGGAAUCUUCCGCAAUGGGCGAAAGCCUGACGGAGCAACGCCGCGUGAGUGAUGAAGGUCUUCGGAUCGUAAAACUCUGUUAUUAGGGAAGAACAAAUGUGUAAGUAACUAUGCACGUCUUGACGGCACCUAAUCAGAAAGCCACGGCUAACUACGUGCCAGCAGCCGCGGUAAUACGUAGGUGGCAAGCGUUAUCCGGAAUUAUUGGGCGUAAAGCGCGCGUAGGCGGUUUUUUAAGUCUGAUGUGAAAGCCCACGGCUCAACCGUGGAGGGUCAUUGGAAACUGGAAAACUUGAGUGCAGAAGAGGAAAGUGGAAUUC